rnacentral:rRNA from 1 species
GGCAUAACUCCGGGAAACUGGAGAUAAUUCCGGAUAACGCAUAUAUGCUGGAAUGCUUUAUGCGUAAAAUGGAUUCGUCUGCCCAAGGAUGGGUCUGCGGCCUAUCAGGUAGUAGUGGGUGUAAUGUACCUACUAGCCUACGACGGGUACGGGUUGUGAGAGCAAGAGCCCGGAGAUGGAUUCUGAGACAUGAAUCCAGGCCCUACGGGGCGCAGCAGGCGCGAAAACUUUACAAUGCGGGAAACCGUGAUAAGGGGACACCGAGUGCCAGCAUCAUAUGCUGGCUGUCCAGGUGUGUAAAAUACACCUGUUAGCAAGGGCCGGGCAAGACCGGUGCCAGCCGCCGCGGUAACACCGGCGGCCCGAGUGGUGAUCGUGAUUAUUGGGUCUAAAGGGUCCGUAGCCGGUUUGGUCAGUCCUCCGGGAAAUCUGAUAGCUUAACUAUUAGGCUUUCGGAGGAUACUGCCAGACUUGGAACCGGGAGAGGUAAGAGGUACUACAGGGGUAGGAGUGAAAUCUUGUAAUCCCUGUGGGACCACCUGUGGCGAAGGCGUCUUACCAGAACGGGUUCGACGGUGAGGGACGAAAGCUGGGGGCACGAACCGGAUUAGAUACCCGGGUAGUCCCAGCCGUAAACGAUGCUCGCUAGGUGUCAGGCAUGGCGCGACCGUGUCUGGUGCCGCAGGGAAGCCGUGAAGCGAGCCACCUGGGAAGUACG